rnacentral:rRNA from 1 species
AAUGAACGCUGGCGGCAGGCCUAACACAUGCAAGUCGAACGGAUCCUUCGGGAUUAGUGGCGGACGGGUGAGUAACGCGUGGGAACAUACCCAAAGGUACGGAAUAGCCUCGGGAAACUGGGAGUAAUACCGUAUGUGCUCGAAAGAGGAAAGAUUUAUCGCCUUUGGAUUGGCCCGCGUUGGAUUAGGUAGUUGGUGGGGUAAUGGCCUACCAAGCCGACGAUCCAUAGCUGGUUUGAGAGGAUGAUCAGCCACACUGGGACUGAGACACGGCCCAGACUCCUACGGGAGGCAGCAGUGGGGAAUCUUAGACAAUGGGGGAAACCCUGAUCUAGCCAUGCCGCGUGAUCGAUGAAGGCCUUAGGGUUGUAAUGAUCUUUCAGGUGGGAAGAUAAUGACUGUACCACCAGAAGAAGCCCCGGCUAACUCCGUGCCAGCCGCCGCCGUAAAAC